rnacentral:rRNA from 1 species
UUAAGUUAUUAAGGGCGCACGGUGGAUGCCUUGGCACUAGAAGCCGAUGAAGGACGUUACUAACGACGAUAUGCUUUGGGAAGCUGUAAGUAAGCUUUGAUCCAGAGAUUUCCGAAUGGGGAAACCCAGCAUGAGUUAUGUCAUGUUAUCGAUAUGUGAAUACAUAGCAUAUCAGAAGGCACACCCGGAGAACUGAAACAUCUUAGUACCCGGAGGAAGAGAAAGAAAAUUCGAUUCCCUUAGUAGCGGCGAGCGAAACGGGAAGAGCCCAAACCAACAAGCUUGCUUGUUGGGGUUGUAGGACACUCUAUACGGAGUUACAAAGGACGACAUUAGACGAAUCAUCUGGAAAGAUGAAUCAAAGAAGGUAAUAAUCCUGUAGUCGAAAAUGUUGUCUCUCUUGAGUGGAUCCUGAGUACGACGGAGCACGUGAAAUUCCGUCGGAAUCUGGGAGGACCAUCUCCUAAGGCUAAAUACUCUCUAGUGACCGAUAGUGAACCAGUACCGUGAGGGAAAGGUGAAAAGCACCCCGGAAGGGGAGUGAAAUAGAACCUGAAACCGUGUGCUUACAAGUAGUCAGAGCCCGUUAAUGGGUGAUGGCGUGCCUUUUGUAGAAUGAACCGGCGAGUUACGAUUUGAUGCAAGGUUAAGCAGUAAAUGUGGAGCCGUAGCGAAAGCGAGUCUGAAUAGGGCGUUUAGUAUUUGGUCGUAGACCCGAAACCAGGUGAUCUACCCUUGGUCAGGUUGAAGUUCAGGUAACACUGAAUGGAGGACCGAACCGACUUACGUUGAAAAGUGAGCGGAUGAACUGAGGGUAGCGGAGAAAUUCCAAUCGAACCUGGAGAUAGCUGGUUCUCUCCGAAAUAGCUUUAGGGCUAGCCUCAAGUGAUGAUUAUUGGAGGUAGAGCACUGUUUGGACGAGGGGCCCCUCUCGGGUUACCGAAUUCAGACAAACUCCGAAUGCCAAUUAAUUUAACUUGGGAGUCAGAACAUGGGUGAUAAGGUCCGUGUUCGAAAGGGAAACAGCCCAGACCACCAGCUAAGGUCCCAAAAUAUAUGUUAAGUGGAAAAGGAUGUGGCGUUGCCCAGACAACUAGGAUGUUGGCUUAGAAGCAGCCAUCAUUUAAAGAGUGCGUAAUAGCUCACUAGUCGAGUGACACUGCGCCGAAAAUGUACCGGGGCUAAACAUAUUACCGAAGCUGUGGAUUGUCCUUUGGACAAUGGUAGGAGAGCGUUCUAAGGGCGUUGAAGCAUGAUCGUAAGGACAUGUGGAGCGCUUAGAAGUGAGAAUGCCGGUGUGAGUAGCGAAAGACGGGUGAGAAUCCCGUCCACCGAUUGACUAAGGUUUCCAGAGGAAGGCUCGUCCGCUCUGGGUUAGUCGGGUCCUAAGCUGAGGCCGACAGGCGUAGGCGAUGGAUAACAGGUUGAUAUUCCUGUACCACCUAUAAUCGUUUUAAUCGAUGGGGGGGACGCAGUAGGAUAGGCGAAGCGUGCGAUUGGAUUGCACGUCUAAGCAGUAAGGCUGAGUAUUAGGCAAAUCCGGUACUCGUUAAGGCUGAGCUGUGAUGGGGAGAAGACAUUGUGUCUUCGAGUCGUUGAUUUCACACUGCCGAGAAAAGCCUCUAGAUAGAAAAUAGGUGCCCGUACCGCAAACCGACACAGGUAGUCAAGAUGAGAAUUCUAAGGUGAGCGAGCGAACUCUCGUUAAGGAACUCGGCAAAAUGACCCCGUAACUUCGGGAGAAGGGGUGCUCUUUAGGGUUAACGCCCAGAAGAGCCGCAGUGAAUAGGCCCAAGCGACUGUUUAUCAAAAACACAGGUCUCUGCUAAACCGUAAGGUGAUGUAUAGGGGCUGACGCCUGCCCGGUGCUGGAAGGUUAAGAGGAGUGGUUAGCUUCUGCGAAGCUACGAAUCGAAGCCCCAGUAAACGGCGGCCGUAACUAUAACGGUCCUAAGGUAGCGAAAUUCCUUGUCGGGUAAGUUCCGACCCGCACGAAAGGCGUAACGAUUUGGGCACUGUCUCAACGAGAGACUCGGUGAAAUCAUAGUACCUGUGAAGAUGCAGGUUACCCGCGACAGGACGGAAAGACCCCGUGGAGCUUUACUGUAGCCUGAUAUUGAAAUUCGGCACAGCUUGUACAGGAUAGGUAGGAGCCUUUGAAACGUGAGCGCUAGCUUACGUGGAGGCGCUGGUGGGAUACUACCCUAGCUGUGUUGGCUUUCUAACCCGCACCACUUAUCGUGGUGGGAGACAGUGUCAGGCGGGCAGUUUGACUGGGGCGGUCGCCUCCUAAAAGGUAACGGAGGCGCUCAAAGGUUCCCUCAGAAUGGUUGGAAAUCAUUCAUAGAGUGUAAAGGCAUAAGGGAGCUUGACUGCGAGACCUACAAGUCGAGCAGGGUCGAAAGACGGACUUAGUGAUCCGGUGGUUCCGCAUGGAAGGGCCAUCGCUCAACGGAUAAAAGCUACCCCGGGGAUAACAGGCUUAUCUCCCCCAAGAGUUCACAUCGACGGGGAGGUUUGGCACCUCGAUGUCGGCUCAUCGCAUCCUGGGGCUGUAGUCGGUCCCAAGGGUUGGGCUGUUCGCCCAUUAAAGCGGUACGCGAGCUGGGUUCAGAACGUCGUGAGACAGUUCGGUCCCUAUCCGUCGUGGGCGUAGGAAAUUUGAGAGGAGCUGUCCUUAGUACGAGAGGACCGGGAUGGACAUACCUCUGGUGUACCAGUUGUCGUGCCAACGGCAUAGCUGGGUAGCUAUGUGUGGACGGGAUAAGUGCUGAAAGCAUCUAAGCAUGAAGCCCCCCUCAAGAUGAGAUUUCCCAACUUCGGUUAUAAGAUCCCUCAAAGAUGAUGAGGUUAAUAGGUUCGAGGUGGAAGCAUGGUGACAUGUGGAGCUGACGAAUACUAAUCGAUCGAAGACUUAAUCAA